CAGCGAUGAAGGACGCGGCUAAUCUGCGAUAAGCUUCGGGGAGGCGAUUUGCUGCCUUUGAUCCGGAGAUUUCCGAAUGGGGAAACCCGCCCGUAUAUCGGGUAUCCAUAGAGUAACGUCUGUGGAGGCGCACCUCGGGAAGUGAAACAUCUCAGUACCGAGAGGAAUAGAGAACAAUAGCGAAUCGCUUUCCAACCGCGCGAUUUCCGUGCGGUCGGAAAGCGAUUCUCGUGAUUCCCUUAGUAGCGGCGAGCGAAACGGGAGAAGCCCAAACCUGUGCGCAUCACACUGCGUGUGAUGACGCGAGCUUGGAGGCCGGAGCUUGGAGUGAUGAGAAUUCCUCACCACUCCAAGCUGAAAGCUCCAAGCUUGCGCAUCGCGCAUAGCGCGAUGCGCAUGGGGGUUGUAAGGCGGAAGUGUCGUACUUGUACGAGAAGAGUUACCAAUCACGCACAUAACAGAAGCUGCUGGGAAGCAGCGCCCUAGAGGGUAAUGGCCCCGUAUGUGAAAUGCGCGUGACUCUUUUGCUUCCGUUCUUGAGUAGCUCGAGACACGAAUAGCUCGAGUGAAUCUGCCGGAACUAACCGGUAAGGCUAAAUAUGGCACAAGACCGAUAGUGAACUAGUACCGUGAGGGAAAGGUGAAAAGAACCCCGAGAGGGGAGUGAAAUAGAACUGAAACCGUGUACUUACAAAGGGUCGAAGCGGGUCGUCGUAAGACGGCACCGUGACGGCGUGCCUAUUGAAGAAUGAGCCUGCGAGUGUGUGCAUACUGCAUAGCUAAGCCCGUUACUGGGUGUAGCUCUAGGGAAACCGAGCGUGAAUAGCGCACUAGUAGUAUGCAUACGACCCGAAGCCAGAUGAGCUUGCCAUGUGCAGGGUGAACGUCCUCGAAAGGGGGCGGGAGGCCCGAACCGGUAGGUCGUACAACGCCUUCGGAUGACAUGUGGUAAGGAGUGAAAAGCUAAUCGAAUCUGGUAAUAGCUGGUUCUCUCCGAAACAGCUUUUGGGCUGGCGUCGCGUGUUUCCGCUGGGGGUAGAGCACUGGAAGGGACCAACAGGGAGAAAUCUCGUGGUUCCUAUCAACCUCCGAAUACCAGCGGCCAGAGCGCGGCAGUUAGAAGGUGGGGGCGAAGCUCCAUCGAUCGAGAGGGGAAGAGCCCGGAUCGCCAGUUAAGGCCCCUAAAUCGACGCUCAGUACAUCACAAGGAAGUGAGAAUCCUUCGACAAUGAGGAUGUUGGCUUAGAAGCAGCCACCAUUUAAAGAAAGCGUAACAGCUCACUCAUCGAGGGUUCUUGCGCCGAAGAUGAUCGGGGUUAAGCGUCGUGCCGAAACUGCGGGUUUGUGCGCUUCGUUGAGGAAUGUUCAUUAAUGCCUUUGUUUGGAAAGACGCCGUAGCUCAGCUGGAUAGAGCAUCAGACUACGGAUCUGAGGGUCGGGGGUUCGAAUCCUCUCGGCGUCGCCAAACAAACGCAUAUCGUGCAUGGAUGAGACGUCAUAGCUCAGCCGGAUAGAGCACCGGCCUCCGAAGCCGGAGGUCGAGGGUUCGAAUCCCUCUGGCGUCGCCAUGCGAUAGCGAACAUGAUGUUCGCUUCCUCAACGAAGCGCACAAGCGGUAGGAGAGCGUUCCGUUCGCGCUGAAGCUAAAGGGGUGACCCAUAGUGGAGCGUACGGAAGUGAGAAUGCAGGUACAAGUAACCACAAUGCGGGUGAGAACCCCGCACGUCGAAAGACCAAGGUUUCCUUAGCCAUGGUGAUCAGCUAAGGGUUAGUCGGGCCUAAGGGGAUGGCGAAAGCCGCACCCGAUGGACACACGGUCAAUAUUCCGUGACCGUACGUAUGGGCGAUGGAGUGACGGACGGCUGUAUGCGUUGCCGGUAAUCGGAUUCCGGUUCGUGAGUGAGGGGGCGCUCUAGGCAAAUCCGGAGCGCAUUAACCCCGAGCGAAGCGGCAAUCUUCUCCUACGGGGGAGGAAAGAACGCAAAGCGCGGUUCCAAGAAAACCUUCUACGCUUAACCAUGCGUAUGACCGUACCGCAAACCGACACAGGUGGUCAGGGCGAGUAGCCCAAGACGAACGAGUGAGAGAUCCUCAAGGAACUCGGCAAAAAAGCGGCCGUAAGUUAGCGAUAAGGCCUGCCCCGUGGGAGAACAUUGUUCGAAUCAGUACUAGCUCUCGACUGCAGAAAUGCUUUCAGAGUUCGUAUAUGAUUUUGAUAGCGUUCUCCCACGGGGCCGCAGUGAAAGUUUCCCUGGCAACUGUUUACCAAAAACACAGCUCCCUGCGAACUCGAAAGAGGAGGUAUAGGGGGUGACGCCUGACCGAUGCCGGAAGGUCAACCACGGAGGGUCGCAUGCUUCGGUAUGCGGCUAGGCUGUGUAAGCCCCGGUGAAUGUCGGCGAUAACUAUAAUCGUCCUAAGGUUCCGCUCUCGACAUCGUCGAGAGCGGAAGGACUGGGACGAUUAUAGGGUGAACAGAAAAACGCAAAGUUACCUUUCCGUGCGGCAACGCGCGGAUUGUCCAAGUACGACUCACAUGAGAGGCCAUACGUCGUGCCCCGAGCGCUUUCGAGCGUGACGGGGAAAGAUAUGGUCCUUCGCGUGCUAAAAGGAAUCGAAGAGCGCAAUUCCUUGUCGGGUAAAUUCCGACGUGCACGAAUGGCGUAAUGACUGGGGAACUGUCUCGAGGAUUCGCUCGGUGAAAAUGCACUUCCGGUGAAGAUGCCGGAUACCUGUAGUUAGACGAAAAGACCCUAGAAGCUUUACUGC
rnacentral:tRNA from 1 species